GCAAAGAAAGGUGAAAUCAACUACUUGCCCAACUUUCCGGAUGGAUUUGAUCAAGCUGCCCUGGAAGAGGCCCGUAAGGACUUGGCUGAUGAAAUGCAGAAGAGAACCCCAAAUGGACUUCUUGUAAAACAAAAGAUGGAUCAGACUUUUGCUUUGAGAAGAAAAGAGGUUGUGGACUCUGAACCCCCAUAAACAUGAUGGUGAAACGCUGGCCUGCCCUCUUCACAGAAGAUCAGGUGUUCAUGGAGUUCAGCAGGAUUGUGGGCAAGAACCUCAAGCAGGAAUUUUAUGAGAACAUCGAUCGGCACAGUCCUCGUUUCCUUGAGUUAUUUCGUUCCCAAGAGAGGGAAUGUUGGACAGUUGUUGACUCAGAUUUCACAACAGACCAAUACUACUGACCCAACUGCAAUCCGGACACAGGUGCUCAGAGGGCUUCCAAUCAUCCUGGGGGACAAUCCUUCAACCUUCUUCAAAGCAGGCUUUGAAUCAGAUGCUGAUUUUUUCCGUGACCUUGACAUCGGGAUUCUUCUCACUGAGCGUGAAGAGGCUGUGCUCACAUCUGCCCAGCAUCCAAGUCCAACCUUGUUGAAAAUUAUCAUUGAGGGAGAAGUCGUGAUGGAAAACAUCCAAGAUCUGCCUAAAGCAAUGUGCAUUCUGUUUGGACUCACGUAUGCACUCCAUCUUAACUAUCCUAAAAGUAUGAAGCUGACCUUUCUGUUCAUCCAACAGAUUUUGCUCUCAUUAGGCCACACUGACCUAAAGCCAAAGAUACAAUCUUUGAAAAAUCAGCUUACAAUGUAAAGUGAUGUCAUCUCUACUGUGACAUGUUUGU